UCCGGCUUGUCGCCGGCGGUCCCUCUAGAGUGCCCAACUUAAUGAUGGCAACUAAAGGCGAGGGUUGCGCUCGUUGCGGGACUUAACCCAACAUCUCACGACACGAGCUGACGACAGCCAUGCAGCACCUGUCUCUACGUCCCUUGCGGGAAAACUCCUAUUAAGGAGCGGUCGUAGGAUGUCAAACCCCGGUAAGGUUCUGCGCGUUGCGUCGAAUUAAUCCACAUAAUCCACCGCUUGUGCGGGUCCCCGUCAAUUCCUUUGAGUUUUAACCUUGCGGCCGUACUCCCCAGGCGGUCGACUUCACGCGUUAGCUUCGUUACUGAGAGUGUCAAACCCCCAACAACCAGUCGACAUCGUUUAGGGCGUGGACUAC
rnacentral:misc_RNA from 1 species